AGGUAAACGAGCUGGAGAGAUAAUCGUCGCAGGAUCUGUCGAGGGAGGCGGCGGCGGAGGGGGAGGAGGAGAAGAGGCAGGAGAGGCCGCCGACGAUGGGGCGCUGGGCGGCGGACGGCGGGCGGAGGUUGAGGUCGUGGUCCGGCGAGGAGGCGGUGAUGUGGGAGGUGGAGCAGACGCUGCCCGGCGGGCCGGCGUAGAGCGCGAUUGCCGGCACCGACAUCGGCAGCGAUGAGCGAAUUUCUCGAUUCGAGGAUUUAGUUUGUUG
rnacentral:misc_RNA from 1 species